rnacentral:rRNA from 1 species
GUGGGGAAUUUUGGACAAUGGGCGCAAGCCUGAUCCAGCGACGCCGCGUGUCGGACGGAGUCCUUCGGGAUGUAAACGACUUUUGAUGGAGACGAAAGGGCAGCUCAGGGAAUGGGGCUGCGAUGACGGUAUCCAAUGAAUAAGCCCCGGCUAACUACGUGCCAGCAGCCGCGGUAAGACGUAGGGGGCAAGCGUUACCCGGAAUUACUGGGCGUAAAGGGAGCGUAGGCGGGAGGUCAAGUCCGGUGUGAAAGUCCCUGGCUCAACCAGGGGAUAGGGCUGGAAACUGACAAUCUUGAGUACAGCAGAGGAAGAGGGAAUUACCGGUGUAGGGGUGAAAUCCGUAGAGACCGGUAGGAAGGCCAGUGGCGAAGGCGCUUUUCUGGGCUGUUACUGACGCUGAGGCUCGAAAGCCAGGGGAGCAAACCGGAUUAGAAACCCGAGUAGUCC